GGUCAAGCUACAAAGGGCGUACGGUGAAUGCCUUGGCACAAGAAGGCGAUGAAGGACGUGAUAAGCUGCGAUAAGCUUCGGGGAGGUGCAAAUAACCUUUGAUCCGGGGAUUUCCGAAUGGGGCAACCCAAUGCAGGUCAUGCUGCAUUACCCUCGAGUGAACACAUAGCUCGAGUGGGGCAAACGGGGGGAACUGAACCAUCUAAGUACCCCUAGGAAAAGAAAGCAACCGCGAUUCCCCUAGUAGUGGCGAACGAACGGGGAACAGCCUAAACUGCCUGUAUGUUAAAGCGAGCACGCGUUGUACGGGCGGGGUUGUGGGACGUCAUUUGGCAAGGGUGCUAACUUGCCGGGAAGUUACCAAUCAACACCAUAGUCGAAGUGUUCUGGAAAGUUCAACCAUAGAAGGUGAUAGUCCUGUAGACGAAAUGGUAGUUGACUUCCUUAUGAUGUUCCCGAGUACCACGGGACACGUGAAACCCUGUGGGAAGCUGGGGAGACCACUCUCCAAGGCUAAAUACUCUCUUGUGACCGAUAGCGCACUAGUACCGGUGAGGGAAAGGUGAAAAGUACUCCGAGAAGGAGAGUGAAAUAGUACCUGAAACCGUACGCUUACAAGCAGUCGGAGGGGACUUGUUCCCUGACGGCGUGCCUUUUGCAUAAUGAGCCGGCGAGUUACUUGUAUGCAGCGAGGUUAAUUCACUAAGUGAAGGAGCCGUAGCGAAAGCGAGUCUGAAUAGGGCGUUCAGUUGCAUGCAGUAGACCCGAAGCCAGGUGAUCUACCCAUGGCCAGGAUGAAACGUGAGUAAAAUCACGUGGAGGUCCGAACCGGUGUACGUUGAAAAGUGCUCGGAUGAGCUGUGGGUAGGGGUGAAAGGCCAAUCAAACCUGGAGAUAGCUGGUUCUCCCCGAAAUAGCUUUAGGGCUAGCCUCUUGUUAAAGAGUCGUGGAGGUAGAGCACUGGAUCGGUACGGGGGCUUACCAGCUUACUUAGCCGAACCAAACUCCGAAUGCCAUUGACUUGUUCCAAGGGAGUCAGCGUGCGAGGGAUAAACUCCGUACGCGAGAGGGAAACAACCCAGAUCGCCAGCUAAGGUCCCUAAGUGUAUGCUAAGUGAUUUAAAGGAUGUGAGAUUGCGCAGACAGCUAGGAUGUUGGCUUAGAAACAGCCACCAUUUAAAGAGUACGUAAUAGUUCACUAGUCAAGUGAUUUUGCGCCGACAAUGUAUCGGGGCUAAGCAUACCACCGAAGCUGCGGACUCAGUAAUUCGUUCGCGAAUUACUGAUUGGUAGGGGAGCGUUCCAUAGUAGGUCGAAGGUGAACCGUAAGGUUUGCUGGACGAGAUGGAAGUGAUUAUGUCGGCAUGAGUAGCGAUAAAGCGGGUGAGAAUCCCGCUCACCGAAAAUCUAAGGUUUCCUGGGCUAGGCUCGUCCUCCUGGGGUUAGUCGGGACCUAAGCUGAGGCCGAAAGGCGUAGGCGAUGGAAAACAGGCUAAAUAUUCCUGUACCACUUAUAGCGCGUUCGAGCUAUGGGGUGACGCAGAAGUGAAAGGUCAGCCAGCGACUGGAAAUGCUGGUCUAAGCCGGUAGGGGGGCCGUCCAGGUAAAUCCGGAUGGCCAUAUACCCCGAGAGGCGAUGGGGAGCCGUCUAACGGCAUAAACUGACCCUAAUCAUGCUGCCUAGAAAAACCUCUAUGUGAGUUCUAUAGGUGCCCGUACCGUAAACCAACACAGGUAGAUGAGGAGAGUAUCCAAAGGUGCGCGAGUGAACCCUCGUUAAGGAAUUCGGCAAAAUUAUCCCGUAACUUCGGAAAAUGGGAUGCCCCUAGUAGGUGAAGCCCUUCGCGGGUGGAGCCCAAAGGGGCCGCAGAGAAACGGGCUGGGCGACUGUUUACCAAAAACACAGGUCUCUGCUAAGCCGUAAGGCAAUGUAUAGGGACUGACACGUGCCCGGUGCUGGUAAGUUAAGAGGAGGUGUUAGAUCCUUCGGGAUCGAAGCUCUGAAUCGAAGCUCCAGUAAACGGCGGCCGUAACUAUAACGGUCCUAAGGUAGCGAAAUUCCUCGUCGGCUAAAAACCGACCUGCACGAAUCGUGUAACGACUUGGCCGCUGUCUCAACGAGGGACUCGGUGAAAUUGUAGUUCCGGUG
rnacentral:rRNA from 1 species